GCAUCCAUGCUUAAAUUCGCAUCGUCAAAAGUCGAAUAACAGAGCUUUUGUUUAAUUUUUUUCAAAUAUUUUGAACAAUUGAAUAUUUGUCCAUACUAACUCUUCAUUUGUUAAGAAAUGGAUACUUGAAACAUAUUGUAUUUGCUAAUUUUAAAAAGAUGACGUUUUGAUGACGUCGCAUGGCGACGUUUCGGUACAUUUUGCUUUUUCAGUAAACACUUCAUCUGUUGAUAAAUACUGUGAACGUUUUGUGUAUAUCUAAAUAU
rnacentral:lncRNA from 1 species